rnacentral:lncRNA from 1 species
GAUAGUUUAUUCAAGCCGAAGCUAAGAUGUUGGUAAUAGGGAUGACGUCAUGAUAUAAUGUUAUGGAGUCAGUCUUUUUAUUCUGCUAUUACAUUUCUCUCUCUCUCUCUGUCUGUAUGUCCUUCUGUAGUAAUUGUAUGUUCAAUCUGUAGUGUCGGGGUGUCCUCCAUUCUCUUCCUACCCGUAAAACUAAAAUCAUGUUGAACAGAGCUGUAACUUUAUUGCGACUCAAAGGUGCAGUCCACGCUGUCCCUUCUUCCAGAAGCUACAAUGGCGUGUCCAAUUGGAAAAGAGCCUCCAUGGACGAGUACAUGGUUCCAUCCGGAUGUUGGAAGGAGAAUUAUGAUAAAAUGAAUAUGCAAUUUACCAAGUUCAUGAUAGCUGGUGCAGCUUUCUUGGCCUUCACAAUCUACUCUGGAUACCAAUUGGGGCCCCUUAAGUUCUACACCGCCCCUAACAAGUACGACUUCAAGGCUCCUGAUGUUUAAUUACAAAUGGGAAUCAGGAAUUUCUAUUCGUUACACAUUUAAGUGAUCAGUUCUCAUGUUUAACAUGAAUUAAUGUUUUACCAUACAGAAUAUAUUUAGUUGACGCCAUGGAGGCGAUGUAGAUUAA